rnacentral:rRNA from 1 species
UGGCUCAGGAUGAACGCUGGCGGCGUGCCUAACACAUGCAAGUCGAGCGGGAUUUUCCGGAUUGAAGCUUCGGUAGAUUGAAGGAAAUGAGAGCGGCGGACGGGUGAGUAACGCGUAGGCAACCUGCCCUUUGCAGAGGGAUAGCCAUUGGAAACGAUGAUUAAAACCUCAUAAUACCGAGGGAAGACAUCUUACUUCGGUCAAAGAUUUAUCGGCAAGGGAUGGGCCUGCGUCUGAUUAGCUGGUUGGUGAGGUAACGGCUCACCAAGGCGACGAUCAGUAGCCGACCUGAGAGGGUGAUCGGCCACAUUGGAACUGAGACACGGUCCAAACUCCUACGGGAGGCAGCAGUGGGGAAUAUUGCACAAUGGGCGAAAGCCUGAUGCAGCAACGCCGCGUGAGCGAAGAAGGCCUUCGGGUUGUAAAGCUCUGUCCUUGGGGAAGAUAAUGACGGUACCCUUGGAGGAAGCCCCGGCUAACUACGUG